AACAAGGCGUACCUGCGGACCUGCGGAGGGAUCAUUACCGAGUGUGGCCCCCUUUCUAUAUAAAAGAGGGGUACCUCCCGUCCUUUGCAGGCCCUUUUUUAAGGGGCUUUUUGACUUUGCUUCGGCGGGUUUAACCCCCCGCCGGAACACCCUCAAGAAAAUCUUUUAUAAACUUUGUUGUCUGAGUUACUUGCAAAUAAAUCAAAACUUUCAGCAAUGGAUCUCAGAUCGGAAGAGCAC
rnacentral:misc_RNA from 1 species